CGGGGUACUCGAGCGGCGAACGGGUGAGUAACACGUGAGUAACCUGCCCCUGACUCUGGGAUAAGCCCGGGAAACUGGGUCUAAUACCGGAUACGACACCUCCUGGCAUCGGGUGGGUGUGGAAAGUUUUUUCGGUUGGGGAUGGACUCGCGGCCUAUCAGCUUGUUGGUGGGGUAAUGGCCUACCAAGGCGACGACGGGUAGCCGGCCUGAGAGGGCGACCGGCCACACUGGGACUGAGACACGGCCCAGACUCCUACGGGAGGCAGCAGUGGGGAAUAUUGCGCAUAGGGCGAAAGCCUGACGCAGCGACGCCGCGUGGGGGAUGACGGCCUUCGGGUUGUAAACCUCUUUCAGCAGGGACGAAGUUGACGUGUACCUGCAGAAGAAGCGCCGGCUAACUACGUGCCAGCAGCCGCGGUAAUACGUAGGGCGCAAGCGUUGUCCGGAAUUAUUGGGCGUAAAGAGCUCGUAGGUGGCUUGUCACGUCGGGUGUGAAAGCUUGGGGCUUAACUCCAGGUCUGCAUUCGAUACGGGCUGGCUAGAGGUAGGUAGGGGAGAACGGAAUUCCUGGUGUAGCGGUGAGAUGCGCAGAUAUCAGGAGGAACACCGGUGGCGAAGGCGGUUCUCUGGGCCUUACCUGACGCUGAGGAGCGAAAGCGUGGGGAGCGAACAGGAUUAUAU
rnacentral:rRNA from 1 species